CAGCAGUGAGGAAUAUUGGUCAAUGGGCGGAAGCCUGAACCAGCCAAGUCGCGUGAGGGAAUAAGGCCCUACGGGUCGUAAACCUCUUUUGCCGGGGAGCAAGGGCGGGGACGUGUCCCGGCCCGGAGAGUACCCGGAGAAAAAGCAUCGGCUAACUCCGUGCCAGCAGCCGCGGUAAUACGGAGGAUGCGAGCGUUAUCCGGAUUUAUUGGGUUUAAAGGGUGCGUAGGCGGGCUUUUAAGUCAGCGGUAAAAAUUCGGGGCUCAACCCCGUCCGGCCGUUGAAACUGGGGGCCUUGAGUGGGCGAGAAGAAGGCGGAAUGCGUGGUGUAGCGGUGAAAUGCAUAGAUAUCACGCAGAACCCCGAUUGCGAAGGCAGCCUUCCGGCGCCCUACUGACGCUGAGGCACGAAAGUGCGGGGAUCGAACAGGAUUAGA
rnacentral:rRNA from 1 species